rnacentral:rRNA from 1 species
GACGAACGCUGGCGGCGUGCUUAACACAUGCAAGUCGAACGAUGAAGCCGGAGCUUGCUCUGGUGAAUUAGUGGCGAACGGGUGAGUAACACGUGAGUAACCUGCCCUUGACUCUGGGAUAACUGCGGGAAACUGUAGCUAAUACCGGAUACGACCCUCGGAGGCAUCUCCUGGGGGUGGAAAGAAUUUCGGUCAAGGAUGGACUCGCGGCCUAUCAGCUAGUUGGUGAGGUAAAGGCUCACCAAGGCGACGACGGGUAGCCGGCCUGAGAGGGGGACCGGCCACACUGGGACUGAGACACGGCCCAGACUCCUACGGGAGGCAGCAGUGGGGAAUAUUGCACAAUGGGCGCAAGCCUGAUGCAGCGACGCCGCGUGAGGGAUGACGGCCUUCGGGUUGUAAACCUCUUUUAGUAGGGAAGAAGCGAAAGUGACGGUACCUGCAGAAAAAGCACCGGCUAACUACGUGCCAGCCGCCGCGGUAA